UGCGUAGGCGGAUUAAUAAGUCAGAGGUGAAAGUUUGCGGCUCAACCGUAAAAUUGCCUUUGAUACUGUUAAUCUUGAGUACAAACGAGGUAGGCGGAAUGUGAUGUGUAGCGGUGAAAUGCAUAGAUAUGUCACAGAACACCGAUUGCGAAGGCAGCUUACUAGGAUGUAACUGACGCUGAUGCACGAAAGCGUGGAUAUCGAACAGGAUUAGAUACCCUGGUAGUCC
rnacentral:rRNA from 1 species